UACGUAGGGGGCGAGCGUUGUCCGGAGUUACUGGGCGUAAAGGGCAUGCAGGCGGUCGGACGCGUUUCGGGUGACAGCGGGUGGCUUAACUACCCGAGUGGUCGAAAGACGGUUUGACUUGAGGACGCGAGAGGGACACGGAAUUCCGGGUGGAGUGGUGAAAUGCGUAGAGAUCCGGAGGAACACCGAAGGCGAAGGCAGUGUCCUGGCGCGUAACUGACGCUGAGGAGCGAAAGCGAUGGGGAGCGAACGAGGA
rnacentral:rRNA from 1 species